GAUGAACGCUGGCGGCGUGCCUAAUACAUGCAAGUCGAGCGAACAGACGAGAAGCUUGCUUCUCUGAUGUUAGCGGCGAACGGGUGAGUAACACGUGGGUAACCUACCUAUAAGACUAGGAUAACUCCGGGAAACCGGGGCUAAUACCGGAUAAUAUUUUGAACCGCAUGGUUCGAUAGUGAAAGACGGUUUCGGCUGUCACUUAUAGAUGGACCUGCGCCGUAUUAGCUAGUUGGUAAGGUAACGGCUUACCAAGGCGACGAUACGUAGCCGACCUGAGAGGGUGAUCGGCCACACUGGAACUGAGACACGGUCCGGACUCCUACGGGAGGCAGCAGUAGGGAAUCUUCCGCAAUGGGCGAAAGCCUGACGGAGCAACGCCGCGUGAGUGAUGAAGGUCUUCGGAUCGUAAAACUCUGUUGUUAGGGAAGAACAAAUUUGUUAGUAACUGAACAAGUCUUGACGGUACCUAACCAGAAAGCCACGGCUAACUACGUGCCAGCCGCCGCGGUAA
rnacentral:rRNA from 1 species